rnacentral:rRNA from 1 species
CCCUUAGAUGUUCUGGGCCGCACGCGUGCUACACUGAGUGGAUCAGCGGGUCAGGUUGCGCGAAAGCGUUUCCUAAUCUUGAAAUCCGCUCGUGAUGGGGAUUGACGGUUGCAAUUUUCUGUCAUGAACGAGGAAUACCUUGUAAGCGCGGGUCAUCAUCCCGCGCUGAACACGUCCCUGCCCUUUGUACACACCGCCCGUCGCUCCUACCGAUUGAGUGGUCCGGUGAGGCUUUGGGAUCUGAGCGGAAAGAGCGUUUCGCUCGUUCUGCCCGGAAAACUCAGUCGAACCUUAUCAUUUAGAGGAAGGAGAAGUCGUAACA